rnacentral:rRNA from 1 species
UACGGAGGGUGCGAGCGUUAAUCGGAAUUACUGGGCGUAAAGGGUGCGUAGGUGGUUUAAUAAGUUAUCUGUGAAAGCCCUGGGCUCAACCUGGGAAGGUCAGAUAAGACUGUUAGACUGGAGUAUGGGAGAGGGUAGUGGAAUUUCCGGUGUAGCGGUGAAAUGCGUAGAGAUCGGAAGGAACACCAGUGGCGAAGGCGGCUACCUGGCCUAAUACUGACACUGAAGCACGAAAGCGUGGGGAGCAAACAGGAUUAGAUACCCUGGUAGUCCACGCUGUAAACGAUGUCAACUAGCUGUUGGUCAUAUGAAUGUGAUUAGUGGCGCAGCAAACGCGAUAAGUUGACCGCCUGGGGAGUACGGUCGCAAGAUUAAA